UCCUGGCCUCAGAUUGAACGCUGGCGGCAUGCCUUACACAUGCAAGUCGAACGGUAACAGGUUAAGCUGACGAGUGGCGAACGGGUGAGUAAUGUAUCGGAACGUGCCCAGUCGUGGGGGAUAACUGCUCGAAAGAGCAGCUAAUACCGCAUACGACCUGAGGGUGAAAGCGGGGGAUCGCAAGACCUCGCGCGAUUGGAGCGGCCGAUAUCAGAUUAGGUAGUUGGUGAGGUAAAGGCUCACCAAGCCGACGAUCUGUAGCUGGUCUGAGAGGACGACCAGCCACACUGGGACUGAGACACGGCCCAGACUCCUACGGGAGGCAGCAGUGGGGAAUUUUGGACAAUGGGCGCAAGCCUGAUCCAGCCAUGCCGCGUGCGGGAAGAAGGCCUUCGGGUUGUAAACCGCUUUUGUCAGGGAAGAAAAGGUUCUGGCUAAUACCUGGGACUCAUGACGGUACCUGAAGAAUAAGCACCGGCUAACUACGUGCCAGCAGCCGCGGUAAUACGUAGGGUGCAAGCGUUAAUCGGAAUUACUGGGCGUAAAGCGUGCGCAGGCGGUUAUGCAAGACAGAGGUGAAAUCCCCGGGCUCAACCUGGGAACUGCCUUUGUGACUGCAUGGCUAGAGUACGGUAGAGGGGGAUGGAAUUCCGCGUGUAGCAGUGAAAUGCGUAGAUAUGCGGAGGACACCGAUGGCGAAGGCAAUCCCCUGGACCUGUACUGACGCUCAUGCACGAAAGCGUGGGGAGCAAACAGGAUUAGAUACCCUGGUAGUCCACGCCCUAAACGAUGUCACUGCUUGUUGGGAGGCUUUCUUCUCAGUAACGUAGCUUACGCGGUGAAGUUGACCGCCUGGGGGAGUACGGCGCAGGUUGAACUCAAAGGAUUGACGGGAUCCGCCCAAGCGGUGGGAUGAUUGGGUUUAUUCGAUGCACGCGAAAAACUUACUACUUUGACAUGUCUGAUUCUGGAAGAUUUAGCGAGGUCUCGAGAAAGUCGAAACACUUCUCAUGCCGUUCCGCCUGUUCUGGAGUGCGUUAGUUCGAGCAAGCCACCUGCUAAUUAGCCAAGGCACCCUAUGA
rnacentral:rRNA from 1 species